CGUGGAUGGUGACGACUGUACCUGGCCGACAGGAUGUGAGCUUGACUCGGCACAAUCCGAUGGUAGGAUGGGCUGGGUGAAGCGUUUAGGAAAAGCGCCGACGAGCACACAUGAUGCGCAUGCUGUGCUAGCACCGCAUCUGUACCUCGUAAAUCGCAUAUGUCGGUUGUCCUGCUGCGGUCCUUCGGCGGCGCCCACAUUUUGACGACGUUGUCGUGGCAGUU
ensembl:ncRNA F26A10.25 ncRNA